rnacentral:lncRNA from 1 species
GGAGCUCAGCAUGGAUCUUGCAACCUUUUUAGAUGUGUCUGCUACUUCCCCUGUUAAUGUAACCGAUCUAAAGGAAGAGUAAAUAAUGGGCCAUUAAAUAAGUCUGCUUCACUCAUAUAGGUGACCUAGCUGACAUGCAUGUACUAUGUUUAUGUCUACUUUCCCUUUAAUAUAAGGAUACUUAUAUAUAUAUAUAUAUAUAUGUAAAUGGUUUUGGUUGCAUGCAAAUCAAAUAAAUGUUAUGGCCAUGGUCAACAUACUGUUUCUUCUUCUUGUUAAUUUUACACCAUGAUUGGACUUGAUAAGUUUCAAGAGAUUGAAUCAGUUAUGUAGUGGUUGGACGUAUAAUUCCGUAAUGACAAACAUGAUCUUCUUUUACUUCAAGUUUAGAUGUAGUUUUAUGGUGUCCUUGGUUCAUGAUGAAGAAUUUCUUUUGCCGCACAGUAUAUACAUUAUACGUCGAGGUUGGGAAUAGUACGGUUGGUAUGGUGUUCGAUUAAAUAUAUAUUAUCCAUUAAGGUUGGACAGAUAAUUGGAUGCCCAAUACCCUCAGAGAUCACCGAUGCCAAUACAACCUAAAAGUUUUGCAUCCUAAACGUAUAUAUAGAGUACACCCUGCAUGUUGUGUUAGAUGUCAGUUUUUUGCUUUGCGAUCUUUCUUACCCCAACCAUGUUGGGCCUAGACACUGGGCCAUAUUCGAUCUCUAUGGUUGCUGCAGCCUCAUUUUAACAUCCAAGAAGAACCCUUAAUGGCCCAAAAAUUUGAUCAGAAUAUCCCUACAUAUAUAAAGGCAUCUUUGUAUUAUUGCUAUUGAUAGAGAAAGAAUUUGCAAAGGCAUUACAUCAUACUGAUGAGGUACCCUACUACCCUCUUAUAGUCUUAUAUGUACUGGUACGGUCUUGUGUUUUUAUUCCAAGGGAGUUGAACAAGCUAGCUUUUGCAAAACUGUACAUAGUCCCGGCCCACCAUUACAGGUUCCAAAAUGAAAAAUGCAUGGAGGAGAAAAUUCCAUACAAAUAUCUGGUUGAGAACCAGCAAAGUGUUUAUGAAUUAUGACGACCUUGUCAAGAUCUAUAUCUUAUCUUCUACUAGCUAAGCUAGCUACUUGCAAUUUCGAUCACCUGUCCAUUUCAGAAGACGGUGUGUUUAAUAUGUUAAGGACCAACUUACCAUCAUUUUACUAUAAAUAGAGGUUCAUCUUAAGCUUAUUUCCUCACACUCACAUACAUUCUAAACCAAUUUCCAACAAAAAAUAAAGUAAUAGUCAUGGCUAAGUCUGCUACCUUCAUCACCCUUCUAUUUGCUGCUCUUGUUCUCUUUGCUGCUCUGGGUGAGUAACAUUACUAAGAAUCUAUUACAACUUAGCUUAUUCUAUGUAUUUAGUUUGGUUGAAUGAUUAAGUACUUUUAGUCUAUCAUUUAUAACCUUGUUAUGUGCAUGUAUAUGUGAUUUGCAGAAGCACCAACAAUGGUGGAAGCAAAAUUGUGCGAGAAACCAAGCGGGACAUGGUCAGGAGUUUGUGGAAACAGUAACGCAUGCAAGAAUCAGUGCAUUCGACUUGAGGGAGCACAACAUGGAUCUUGUAACUAUGUCUUCCCAGCUCAUAAGUGCAUCUGCUACUUCCCAUGUGCUUAAUUACUACGGCACAAAUAUAUGUGUAAGUACCAAACCAUGCUAGGUGGAGUAUUGAGGACACAGGAGCUAGAUAAGGAGAGCAAACUGAGAAGUACCCAAUCGGAGUUCAGAACAUUCUAGAGUAUCACGGAUAAAGCACGUGAUGUCUGGCUGUCAAGCAUUCACUGUAUAGUAUGUGAUGGAGAAUGAAACACGUAGGAGAUAAUAGAACCAUAGGAUGCAAAGGAGGAUCCAACGGUUCAAGGAAGGCGGUGAAUAUUGCUAUAAAAGGAUCACGUUAGGGUUCGCUAAAGGUAACUGUUCAUUCUUUGCUAAAACCUAUUCUCUAAACCUAGCCGCUUACUGACUUGAUCGUUGGAGCUUUAUCCACCGGUCAUUGUCCGAUGGUCAUUGCAGGUACUACCGUUGAAGCAGUUGAAGGACCCAGCUGAGCUCAUCAAGGAAAGAGGGCUUACAUUUGGCGCUAGAAGGAGGGCCAUUUGCUGCUUCCAGAUCUAGGGUUUUGGAGAAGUAGGUUGAAAGAAGAAAGUAGAGAGCAAUGGUAACACAAACUAGAUCGUCGACAUAUCUCGGAGAUGUAGCAGCUGGAGAUAUGCCGCAAGUUGUUCAUCCUCAAAAUCUCCAAGAUGGAGACGAAGAUACAAACAGAUUGAGAGAAGAGAACUUGAGACUGAGGGAGCAGAUAAGAAGGAUGGAAGAUAUGGAUCGUCAAAAUCUUCAGGAAGGAGAGAACGAAGCAGUCAGAAAUGAAAACCUUCAGAGACCAUUGGAGAGGGUAAUACUAGGAGAAGGUGAAGGAGGAGCAAGGCGUCGGAUUCCGGGCCUAAGAGUGAAUGAAGAAGAAGGGUCAGGAGAAUCGGGGGUAAGAGCUCGCGAAGGGAGUCGAAGGGAAGGGAUGAAUGAUGAAGAGAUCCCGGCGGCAGAUCAAUACACCAGACUUUUCGAUAUGAUAUGCAAGGUCCAAGAGGACAUGAGGGCGCAGAACAAGGGAAAGAACAUGGAGGUGACUCAAGAUCUGGAGAGAUUGGGCAAGAGGCCAUUAGCCGAAGUGUGCUACCGUCACGGGUUCCCAAGUAAGUUUCAACCUCCUAAGUUUAAUGAGUAUGAUGGAACAACUGAUCCUGUGCAGCACUUGAAUAAUUUCAAGCAAAAAAUGGCGGCUUGGGAAGGGAGCCAGUAUGACGGAAUGUGGUGUCGACUGUUCCCUAGCAGCUUGAAGGAUAACGCUACAGACUGGUAUCUCAGCUUAUCACCAGGGAGUGUAUCAAGCUUUGCUCAGCUCAGUGAGAUGUUUGUCAAGCAUUAUAUUCAUCAGAAAAGACAGGCUGCAGAUAUAGCGUCACUAUUUGAUUUGGAACAAGCUCCAGGUGAGUCUCUUAGAAAGUUUGUUACUAACUUUAAAAAUGAGAUUUUGAGAACAGAUGGCGGAGUAGAUGAAAGAACAGCUGUGGUAGCAUUUCAGAAGGGUAUAAAUAAGAAGUCUCCUGCAUAUGACUCGAUUGUGUCAUCACGGAUGGCGACUCUGGAUGAACUUUUCCAGAAGACGGAGAAAUACAUCAGACUAGAGGACAUAGCAUCACGGAGAGCUCCUAAAGUGGUACCGGCAUCCGUUAACUCGGUGGCGGAGAAAAGAAAAAAGGGAGAAGCUAGCUCACGAAGUGAUUCGCCACCAAGAGAUUCCGGCUCUAGGAGGAACAAAGAUGGAUCGAGAGGUCACGACAAAAGAGAAAGGAGGGAGGAUAGAGAUACUUCACCAAGAAAGUUGAUACCACCGAAACCGCUACCGCAACUCACAAUGUCACUAGAUCAAAUUUUGAAGAGAAUAAGAGGAAGAAAGUACUUCCAGGAGUCGUCGGUAAGAUGUAGAACAGUCAGGGGAAAGCCAUUCUGUGAGUAUCAUCAGACUUACAACCACCCGACUGGAGAUUGUUAUGAGUUCAAAUCCUUGAUAUGGAAAUGGAUGGAGGAGGGCCAUUUGAGAGAGUUUAUAGUGGAAAAGAACAAGGAGGAAGACAAAACAGAAAUUCAAGUCAGAGGGACCGUCAACAUGAUCUUAGAAGGAGCGAGAGAAUCCUUGAACGAGGUCAGGAGGAAGAUAAGAAGAGUGAUGCAGAUAAGAGAAGACUUACAAACAGUCGGAGCCGUUCCAGUCAUGCGAAAUGGCAGACCAGUGCAUCAGAGUGAGCCGAUUGGGUUUUCAGAGGAAGACCUCAAAGGAAUAGUCACACCACACAAUGACCCAUUGGUCAUUUCCAUACUCAUUGGAAAUUGGAAUGUCACGAAAGUGUUAGUAGAUUGUGGAAGUGAGGUAGAUGUUCUGUUCACCAGGGGCUUGGAUCAAAUGAAACUGGAGAGAGGUAGCUUGGCAAAUUCACCUGGAGACAUUUACGGAUUCAAUGGGGGAGCAGUGCGGCCAGUUGGAGAGAUAGUCUUACCGGUUACAGCACACACCAGAACCGUCAUGUCGAGAUUUGUGGUCAUAGAUGCUCCAACAGAGUACAAUGCAAUCUUGGGAAGAGAAUGGAUUCAUCUUAUGAAGGCAAUUCCGUCAAGUUACUAUCAGAAGAUCCGUUUUCCGACUGAAGAUGGACAAUAUGAGAUAAGGAGCAAUCAGGCUAUGGCCAAGAAUUUGAAGAUAGCAACAGUAAAAAGUAUGAGGCAUGGCACAGCAGGUGCUGGGCCGUCAUCUAUCCCUACAUAGCAACGACAGAAGGAGGGUGACGGGUUCCCGCGUGAAGUGCUAAAGACAGAAGAACAAACGGAACCCGUCAACCUCAAUGAGGUAGGGGAUCAGCGGAUCACCUACAUGGGAACCAACUUGGAUGAGAAGGUGAGGUUUGAUCUUUUACAAUUCUUAAAAGAUAAUAUGGAUGUAUUUGCUUGGUCUAUGAAUGAUAUGACAGGGAUCGAUCCAGACGUAGCAUGUCACAGAUUGAAUGUCAAUCCAAGUUUCAAACCAGUUGCGCAGAAAGUGAGAACAAUAAAACCUACACUGGCAGAGGCAAUAAAACAAGAGAUCGAGAAGAUGGAGUUAGCUGGAAUAACAAGAGAAGUUCAGUAUCCAGAGUGGGUAUCUAACAUAGUGGCGGUUCCGAAGAAAAACGGAAAGGUUCGGAUCUGUAUAGACUUCACAAACUUAAACAAAGCAUGUCCAAAAGAUAGAUACGUCAUGCCAAGGGUGGAUGAGCUAGUGGACUGAACAGCAGGCUUUGGGUUACUGUCAUUCAUGGAUGGCUAUUCCGGCUACAAUCAGAUUCCUCUAUAUGGUCCAGAUCAGGAGAAAACGGCCUUCUAUGCUGAUUACUUUACGAAGUGGAUUGAGGCAGAACCUUUACGAAGGAUCAGGGAGGUAGAUGUCAAAGAUUUUAUCUGGACCAACAUCAUCUGCAGGUUUGGCUUACCAAGGGCUAUAGUAGCAGAUAACGGUGCUCAAUUCCGUGGAGAGGAGUUGAAAAAGUUUCUGGCAAGUUAUAACAUAAAGCAACUCUUCGCAACACCAUUUCACCCGCAAGGAAAUGGGCAGGCGGAAGCAUCAAACAAGGCCAUACUGGAGGUACUGAAAAAGAAGCUUGAGGAUAAAAAAGAAAAAUGGUAUGAGAAUCUCUGGGAAGUACUAUGGGCAUACCGGACGACUCCGAGAAGGUCCACAGGGGCAACUCCAUUCUCCCUCACUUAUGGGAUGGAAGCUGUGAUACCACAAGAAAUGUUGGUACAUACGGCUAGAAGAAUGGUGGUCGAUCUAGGGAAGAAUAAUGAGAUAAUAGAGAGAGAGAGCUGGUCUUAGCUGAGGAGGUCCGGGAGCGCGCCAAGCUCAGAUUGGAGGGCUAUCACCGCCAACUAGAGAGGACAUACAACAAAAGAGUCAAGCCAAGAAGCCUAGUUCCAGGGGAUCUCGUGUUAAGAAAACAGAAUCCGCCUCCAGCCAAACUAGAGCCAAACUGGGAAGGGCCUUUUGUGAUAGACAAGGCGGGAGCGAAUGGAGCAUACUACUUAACCUACCAAGACGGUACCCCUCUUGAUAAGCCAUGGAGUAUCAGCAAUCUAAAGAAAUACUAUGCCUAGAGGGCAGAGAUGUAUUAGAGCAACAACAGUAGACAGUAUGUACCUAGAUUUGUUUGAAUUUCAAUGAAAAUAUAAGAUUUUGUUGUUAUUGACUUAUCUAGUUAUAUAUAUAUAGCACUAUUGUCUGAGACCAGGCCAAAGGUCAGACAUAGAAGAAACCCAACUAAGGUUGGUGGGAAAUAACAUAAGUGUAGACUUGGCAGGGCAGGCCGUUAACUAAAUGUUAAAGUCUCUAUAUGAUUAUUUCUUCCCCAUUGAGUUUGAUUUAGACAAUACAGUGGGGUGCCUCUAAAAGAGAAGAGCAAUAGUGCUAGUGUGUUAACGGGGUUGCACUUGCUGAACCGUGACGACGGGAUCAGUAGAAGUAUAGCCUAAUGUUAGCACAUGAGAAACCAAUGCCAGAAGAUAACAAUAAUUGAUAGCAAUUAUAAAAGUUUGCAAUGUUGGAAGACUUUUCGUCAAAAUUAAAAAUUAAUCAAAUUACAACUCAAGGCAAGGGGUCUCGGGUGGAAGCGCUAGGAGGCGUUAUCCGCAUUUUCUUAGCAGAAAGAAUAGCGGUUAAGUUUUCCUUCACUUGAGCCUUCACUUGCAUGGCAAGUUGCUCUUUGAAUUUCGCCUCCAUCUCCUCGUAUUUUGAAUUGUAAUCAGCCAGGAGAGUUUCUCUUUGCUCCCGUAGGUCGGCCAGAUACUGCUGAUAGUCAACAUCAUGAGCGGCUUCGAGUUCAUUUAUUUUCACUAAGCUAUCAGCCCAUUUCCCCUCCAACCUUGCUACCACGGUGGCAUGAGCAGCAUCAAGGGCAGCAAUACGCUCACGGUGCUCACCCUCAAGUGCAGCAAUGUGAUUACGGUGCUCACCCUCAAGUGCAGCAACGCGCUCGCGGUGUUCACCCUCAAGUCUUUUCCGGUUCUUCUCGAUUUCAGCAUCACGAGACGCGGUUGUUUCUUUCAGUUGAAUCUUAAGUUGCUCGAUCUCGGCUUGAAGAGCCCAUUUCUCGCGAACUAGUCGAUUCUUAUCCACUGUAAUGUCGUGCUUCUCUUUUACAAGAUUUUCUUUUUCUUUUUCCAGCUUAGAAGCAUUUGAAAAAGACUUGACGACGAGACCGUUAACCUACAAUUCAAUAGAAAAGUUAUAGUGCAAAAAAAAAAAAAAAAAAAAAGAGAAGAGGGGAGACUUACGAGAGCUAGACCACGGAAAACUGUAUCUCGGUCCUUACCAAAGUUCAUCUGAUCAAUUUUAGCUUGAUCAGAAGGAAGAAUAGAAUUAUAGAUAGCGGCGAAAGCAGUCGCCCCAUUGUCAAAAGCCGAAGCUGAGGGAUCACGGGGAAGGGGAACGGCUGGAGUCUGGCUUGGAGACUGGGGGGAGGGAGAGUCAGGAAGUACUUUACCGCGAGAAGAGGAGCCAACCUUGUUAGGGUCAAAGGCUGGUACAGACUCUGAAGACGAAAAAGGACCUUGGGAAGUAACACCGGCAGGAGGUGUAGAAGUCUUGUCAGCAGUUGGUGCCGGAUUAAUCUCAGCAUCAAGGGUGGGAGAGAAUUGCUGGUCAUCUGCGGCUUGGUCACCUGAUCCAGAUGAAGAGUAAUUAAGAGUACGAUGGCGGGUAUACCUAGGUGCUUCACGAAUAGGUGCAACAAGUGUAGCAACAUCAAAAAUUUCGUGAUCAACAGGAAGUGGUGGAGGCAUCGCACCAAUAAUAGGGGGCUCAUUUGGAUCAAGGAGAGCCAUGGAAAAUCCCUUAAGGGGAGAAGAUGAAGGAUGAGAAGUUGAACCUGGUUGGGCGAGAUUGUCCAUGCCGGUAUCUUCAAAUAGGAGACCACCAUCAAACCCAAGUUCAUCAAGAUUAAAGGAAACCUUGAUUCCACUAAAGUUUGGUUGUCUGGGUUCUUCCAGAGAGUCGCUGGAGGAAGAAGAAGGGGAUCCCGGUAGUUGAGAAGGAGCUUCUGCCAUUUUGGCCCUUUUCACUCUAGGAAUGGAAGGACCGUGUUGCUUUGAACGCGCCAGGUGAACUUCGGGAGAUUCCGGCAAUGUCUCUGGUUCACCUUGGACUGCCUGAAAAUCAGAACUUUCAGUUGAAGAAGAAGAAAGAUCACGACUACAGUUCCUGACAAUCUUUUGAACUCGAAGAGCAGAUAAGAAAGGGGGAAGUCGGGCAGUUACUCUUUUUUGCUUCUUCUUCUCGGAUGGCGCUGAAACUGCGGAAGGAGGUUCACGGGUUCUCUUUUUAGUUAGGAUCGUCUGAAGAGGGAUAUUAUCUCCACCGUCAUCAGAUUCUCUCUCUAACUCAGUAGCGGCAGCAGUAGAAGCUUUACCCUUCCUUCGUGUUGAUCGGGAAGUAGGAGGAAUAGCAGAAGACCUGCCCUUUUUAUCCCUGAGAUAAUCUCUGUGGCAGCAGACGGGUAAGACGUAUUCCCCUAGAUCAAGAUCCUUAACGAUCGGGGUACCGUCUUUCUUUGAGGAAGUAAGCUCACGAAUGGCGGAAUAAGCGUCAGCUCCAGAUCCUAUCAAAGGUUCCCAAGGGGCGUCUUUGCGGGGUCUUAAGGCUUUGCCGUCACCACGAACCUCUGGGAUAGAAAACAGAUAAAAGAGUUAGACAGACACUAUCAAAAGGAUUUUCAUCCUAGGAAUGUUAAUAUAUGAACAAAGUAGAAAAAGUGAGGAAAAAACCUCCUAGAUUAAACCGCCAGUAUUUUAAAGGGUUAGAAAUGCCAGGUCCUUUUCCCCCGAAGUUACCAAAGACAAUCAUAGGAAAGUCAGGCCAUUCCUUGUCACUUUCCGACAAUUUUUCAAUAAUAGACCGCCUGCCGGGGCGUUUGACGAAAUAGUAAUAAGGUUGACCACAUUUUUCUUCGCAAACCCGAAGAUAAUAACAUUGACGUAUAUCAGCAAGGGAAACGGUAGUUCCUUCAUUGUUUAGUUGGUCUAGGGCCCGCAAGAUACGCCAAAAGUUACCAAUACAUUGUCCAGGGGCGACUUGGUAAAAAUUAAGUACAUCACGAACUAAAUCAGAAAAAGGAAACCGGCAACCAAAAGCUAUUUGGUGGGCUGUCUCCAUAAUCGCAUCUUGGCGGCUAAAUUCGUGAUGUGCAAAGCGUAGGGCAUGUUUGUAGUUGAAAAUUUGUACAUCUUCAGGAAUGUCAUAUAGCUCACAGAGUAGAUCUAAAUCAGGUCUAUAAGGGUAGGUACUGGGCACAUACGAAUCAAGGUAGUAACUGGAAGGGGAAGGGUGAACACCGCCAUCACCUUGACCUCCUUCAACUGUUUUCCUCGAAGAAUCUUUCUUUUUCUGAUUUUGAUAAGAAGCCAUUUAUGUAUAGAGGAAGGCUCACCAAAAUCGUAGAGAAAGAAAGAUUAGGGGCGUAUACAGGGUGACUCCAAGAGGAGGAAAGGAGAGAAGAAAAAUAAUUUGGAAAUUUACGGCAAUCGAAGUACAGAGUAUAUAGCGAGAAGAAGAAAAAUGAAAACCUAGAUCUAAUAAUGGCUAAAAUUAAAAUCAAGAAUAAGGAGAAGAGAAUAACCUGAAUUAGUCGACGGAGGAAGAAAUAAAGACGAGAAUCGAACUUUCAGGGGACCGGACGGUGCGUGAUUUCGUAGAGAAGAUGAAGACUGAAGAGAAAGAUAAACAGAGGAGGAGAAUGAAGAAGAUGAAAGGCAAAUGGAAGAAUUAGGAUAAAGGUUGUAAAUUUAUAUGAGGAUAAUCCCAGGGGUAUUACGGGAAGAAGUAAAAUAGUGACGAGACAGUAGCAUUGGGAAGCGAAAGGACAGCAGUUAAAAUCAUAAGUGCGUCUGGGUAAGAGCAAAAGAGGCACGCGUAGGAGGUUCGGGACUCGAGAGCAUGCGCAAUUAAUGAAUAGCUGGAGAGAUAGGGAUAAGGCAGAGCCUAAGGCACGUGAGGAGCAGGUGAUAGAUUAAGUAAUGAAAAGAACUUAUGACAGUUUUUCCGUCAUCGUAAGGAGUUUACAUUUAGGUGGAGAAAAAGCCUUUGAGCCGCCAUCUAAGAAAUAUAGAUGACGGUCAAAGGAGGGGCGAUGUAAGUACCAAACCAUGCUAGGUGGAGUAUUGAGGACACAGGAGCUAGAUAAGGAGAGCAAACUGAGAAGUACCCAAUCGGAGUUCAGAACAUUCUAGAGUAUCACGGAUAAAGCACGUGAUGUCUGGCUGUCAAGCAUUCACUGUAUAGUAUGUGAUGGAGAAUGAAACACGUAGGAGAUAAUAGAACCAUAGGAUGCAAAGGAGGAUCCAACGGUUCAAGGAAGGCGGUGAAUAUUGCUAUAAAAGGAUCACGUUAGGGUUCGCUAAAGGUAACUGUUCAUUCUUUGCUAAAACCUAUUCUCUAAACCUAGCCGCUUACUGACUUGAUCGUUGGAGCUUUAUCCACCGGUCAUUGUCCGGUGGUCAUUGCAGGUACUACCGUUGAAGCAGUUGAAGGACCCAGCUGAGCUCAUCAAGGAAAGAGGGCUUACAAUAUGCACCAAGACCCUUUGGCUUAAAUAAAUCUGUGUCACUCCAUGGGUGACCCUCGACAUGUACCAUGUUUAUGCUUCUUUGGUUAUAGUAAAAACUUUUAUGUAUUAUAUUACUACUGCUACUUCUUGUUCAUUUUUACCUGCAACGCCACCAAUAUUAUGGACACAAGGACAGAACGUUUCGAUGAGAACUGUGGAAACUCAGUAAUAGCUUACCUAAUUCAAAAAAGAAUAUAAAAGCUAUAAAUAUGAAAAAUUUGUGCCUGUUUGAGAAGUUUUCCCUUUGCUUAUUCGAGAAAUUACCCUUUUUUCUUUGGGUAAAUAAGAUAAAUAUAACAAAGGGAUUAUUACUUGCAAGUUUUAAUAUCACGACCAUGCGCACACAUUCACUGUUCCCUGCCUUGUCUACAGAAUGGCAUCAUAAGGCAGUGUCGGCAGAAUACAAAUGCAAGUUUCCACAACUGCUUACACCCUAGUAAACACUAAACACACAAAAAAUAUGUUAAUUUACAUGACUCAUUGAGUGUUCAUGCUUAGCUUGUUAUGUUGUUAUAUCUCAACAAGUUUGCAAUAUGGACUAGACCAACAUAAAUAUUGUUCUAAGUGAGAUUGUUAAAAUUUAUGAUAAUUGCUUCACGCUGUAUAGUCAAUACGAUCAAAAAGAUUGUGUGCCUGAAGUCGAAUGUUGGAGGAAACUGAACUUUUAGAAUGGAGAUUUUCAAAAUUUUCUUGUAGGAACUGAACCUAAUAAUAAACUUCUAUAGCAACCUUUUAAUUUGUCAAUUUUUUCAGUUAAGGUUAUAAACUAUAAGCUACUAGAUAAGAAAACAAACAGCAUAGCAAUGCGCAAUGGGGCUUUUUAUAUUUGUAACGAAACAACUUCUGGUGAAUAUAGUUUGAAGUACAUACUAGAGUAUUUUUAUCCAUGGACAAAGUUUUUAUUUGAUGAUGCGCCAGAGAAAGAAAGGCCAUGGGAUUAUCAUGGCUGAUGGAUAACCCAAAUCCAAUCUAUCCUUAUCCUUGGAGUUGGAGAUGGAUGAGAGUACUCCAGUACGAUUGCACUGUAUGGCCAUACUGGGAAUUAAAUUCAUCACUACAACAACUUUCGUUAGGGACGAAAAAUGUUGCUAAUUAAUGGCACAAUAAUGCCGGUACAACAGACAGCACACAUAUCUGCGACCGCUGCAAUACGUAGGUAGCUCUAAGUCAUAUAUAUUAGACAAUUGCGCGUGCCGUGCUAUCUGUCAUGCAAACUACUAGCACAUUGCUGGUCACAAUAGAUAGCUAGCUGCAUGCGCUGCAAUACCAAACUCUAAGUCAUAUAAUUAGACGAUUGUGCGUACCUUGCUAUCUGUCAUGCAAACUAUAACUUUUAAUUGCUAUAGUCAGUAUUCAGUUAGUUGUCACACUUUGAAACUAUUCUUUGUACAAAUGUUGAAUGAAGAGAACACCAUGAUCUACUUGCUUAGAAUAGUUUUGCAAGUAACAUAGAAACAGAUAGAAUUAACAAGUCAUUAGAGACUUUGAAAUAAAGACAAAUUCCAAAAGAGGAUACUAGAAGUGGGACAGGUGUAUCAUAGGACAGAUUGACUAUAAGAGGAUCAAAACGUAUAGUGUUUGAAUAAAGACGAUGUAGGUCGAAUGACAGUAGCUCCACGUCGGGUGAGCUCGGAUAAAAAUAGGCUUAUGCCGAAUGAAGGUCUUUUAAGGUCGAAUUGGAUUUGUAUUUGUGGUCACGAAGUGAGCUCGAGUAAAAGUAGUGUUACGUCGAGUAAGGUCGAAUAGAAUUCACAAAGUGAGCUCGAGUAAAAGUAGUGUUACGUCGAGUAAGGUCGAAUAGAAUUCACAAAGUGAGCUCGAGUAAAAGUAGUGUUACGUCGAGUAAGGUAGAGUAAAAUUGGGUUCACGACGAGUUGUUUGAAUAGGUAUACACAUAGCCCCUUUUUAUUUUGGUCGAAGUGAAAUGAAUUGAGUUUGGUGAUAAGUCAUUGCGUCGAUCGAAAUAAAAACCAAUGAAGUCAUUGUUGGGGAGGGCAUUAGUUGCCUUGCUGGUGUGUGUUUUUUUUGGUCUUUGAAGCUAGCAAAGAUUCCUUUGUGUGCUGCAUUAAAUGGUUUUAGGUUUUUGAGGAAAGUGAAUGAUUGUAGCAGUGGUAAGUGUGCUGAUAUUGCCACAUGGAAAUGUAGUUUGAAUUUUGAUUUUUAGAAAGUAACCGAAAUGGGAGGGAAACCAAGGGUUUCGGUGGUUGGAUUUCUCGUGCCAGAUCUGGCCUUUCAUUGAAGUUGGUUUGGACGGUUACGAUGAAGUGGCUGGGUUUUAUAAAACCUAACCGCGAGUUUAGAAAACCAAGGGUUUCUUUUGCUUGGGAUUUAAGACUUCUGCAUCUGCUCAGCGCAAGGUAACUUGUUGUUUUUGUCUUGUUCUUCUUCCUCUUUUCUUCUCUUGCGUAUUCCCAUUGUUGUUCUUCAUUGUUUAUGCUUGUUUGUCUCCUUUUCUUCACUUGGUGUUUGAGUUAUUUCAUUUUCUUUUGUACUUGUUCGAUUUCUUUGUUUAUCUGUCGAAAUUUCUGUUGUUUGGGUGCUGCUCUUGAGUAUUUCCGCCAUUGUUGAGUUUCUGAAGCUUUUGCUUUUUUGUGUGCUCUUUAUCCUUACCGAAAAUUGGUUUGAUAUCACCUUGUGAUUUGUUAUCGGGGGUUUGUUUAGAAAGUAAUUUGUUAAGAUGAGUGAUAGAGAGUCUGAAAGCAUUAGUGAGAACGAGGAAGAGGUUCGGUUUGACGAAGGAGGUGAAACUAGUGUUAGUGGUAAUCGUCUUGGGGUUGAUGAUGUAGAAAUUAGUAGAGUAGGGUGCUUACUGUAGAUGAAGCUCGGAGGUCGUUGCCCGAGAUUCGAGAGGAGUUUAAUAUUAGGAUCUCUGACCUCGAAAUGUAUAGAGUCAGUGAUAGGUUAUUUGACUUGUGUGGGGACACGACAUCCACUUUGAUUUGUCUUGCCCAGCUUAGGGGUGGUAUGCGUCUUCCAUUCAGUAAGUUCGUAUGUGAUAUCUUGAAUCACUACGACGUAGCCCCUAUCAUGAUGCCCACUAGUUUUUGGACCUCGAUGCUGAUCUUUGAGGAACUGAACAGGUUACAUAAUUACGAUAUCUGUAAGGCUGACGUCGUAGCAUACUUUACCUGUGUCACAGGUCGCAGUAGGGAUUACGUCUGUUCCCUAAAUAGAAGACGAAGUUGUGGUCCAGCUAAGCUGUUUAACCCACCUACGUCGAAUGACGGUUGGAAGAAUUCGCCGGUGUAUAGAAUCCGUGGUCAAUUUGUACAACUCAGUGCCUUCUUAGCCCGAUAUGCCAUUCCCAGCAUAGGUGAACGUGUGUCUAUAAUUUUCUUGUUUAUUUGCCGAAUCGGCUCGAUUAUUGACUUGUUUGAUUUAUUUUCGCAGGUCAGACUAAGGAUUACAACGAGCCAAUCGACGGACGCCUGCACCCAAGUAAUAUAAUCGACUUUGCUGAGAAAUCGUGGGUAGAGAAGAGGAAAUUGCUACCCCAUCUGGCACGUUUCUUUCGUGAGCCCCGAGUUAAAUUUACUAAAGGUACCGAAGUGGAAGUCGGUACCUCCGGUGCUCCAACGCCGAAGAGAGUCAGGCGAAAGAGAGGGGAGCUCGCUGUAGCCCUGCCAGUUGCGGAGUUGGUCUCAGCUCAACCAGGAGAUUUGCUGAUCGAGGUUGUGGCUGCUUUGCCUAUGGCCCCACCAAAGAAGUCUGUUGAAUUUCCCUUAACUGGUGGAUCUACUCCUCUGGCGAGUAAGGUUCCAAAUGCCCCGAAUCUGAGUGACUUUUUCAGCUCGAGGUCGAUCGAUCCUGCUCAGUCUAAGAAGAGGAAAGCCCCGGCUAGGGCAUCUGCGCCUGUGCCCACGUCGAAGGUCGAUAAACCAGCUCAGGAUAGGGGGAAAGGAAAAGCCCAAGUUCCCUGUUCGAAGUCGACUUAGCCGUCGGCUAUCGACAUGAGUGAAGAUUUUUCUGCCGGUGAGGCGAAUCGGUUUUCGCCAGUGUUUCCUUGCCGUGAGGCUUAUGUGAAGGCCGAUGACUCGGCUUGGGAUGAUAAGAAAAUGAGCCUUUCGUUAAUGGAGAACUGUUUUCUCUUUGAGGAUGCGAAGAAGAUUCAGCCCCGGUCUCUUGUGGAGGAUUCCCAGGAAUUUGCGUCUUGCGCGUAUAGGGUGAGUUAUACCUACCCAGUUAUGAUUUGGUUUAUCCUUCUACCUGUCAUUUGCUUGUUUUUUUUUUGUUUUUUUUUUUUUUUUUUGAUUUUCCCCUUUCUGCAUGUCAGAUGAAUGUGAUCCAUAACAAGUGGAUUACAAAGCUCGAGAAUGCAAGGAAGAAGGCUGAAGCUCUGCAAAAGGCCAAUGUUGAGAAUAAGGCAUUGCGAGCUGAAGUCCAGAGUCUGAAGGGCAAGCUCGAUGCUUCCCAGAAAGAGUGUGCCGAAUACGGUGCGAAUCUGGAUGAGGCCCAGAGAUUUGUGAUGACUCUCCAAGGUCAGCUUGCCAAUGUGAAUGCGAGCUGGGAAGCUGAUGCCCAAAAGUCUGUCGAGAGUAUCUCGGGGUGGCGGCAGAUAUCUUAUGCCUGGGAGGAGAGGUGCCUUCGUCGUGAGUCUCAGCUUGCGUCAUUGGUAGAAAACUUUGAUGCCUCUGCAAAUAGGGAGGCCAUCAAAAUUUCCGCUCUUGAGCGUUUUCGUCACGACAUGGAAGAGGAGAAUAACGCCGAAGCUGCUCCUGCGAAUGUGGAGGCUGACAUGGAACCCUCUCCCCGAGCUGAAGAGAAUGCUGGUGCAGCGACUCAAGAUCUCCCUGAGGAGCAAACUUGAUAGUUAUUGUUUCCUUUGUAAUUCUGUUGAGAGUGGUGAGGUUUCUUUUGUUGUUUGAAAACAUAAGUAGGGAAUUCCGACUUCGGUUGGCCCUACGUCCGUGAUAUUUUGUAAUCCAACUAUUUUGACUUUACCUUUGAAGAAAUGUAUGCUGAAUUGUAAAUGCUUGGCUGCCAUUACAAUUUGUUGUUCAAUGUAGCUCAAAAUAGAUUAUUUUGUAGUAUAAAUCCCUUGUGGUUUUAUUGGUCAACCUUGCUGCGAGGAAAUGGAAGAUGACGACCUUUGAAGGUGAUCAGGGUAGAUAGAUUUUUAGAAAUUUGGAGUUCCAAGGUCGAGGCACAUGUUCCCCUUCGGCAUCAAUGAGUGUGUAUGCGCCAUUUCCUAAGUUGUUUUUGACAACGUAUGGUCCUUCCCAAUUAGGAUUUAGCUUUCCGUCCCCAGGCUUCUUAGUAUUGGAAAAAACUUGUCUGAGGACGAGGUCUCCACUUUGAAAUUCCCUUGAUCGGACCUUUUGGUUGUAGCUCCUUUUUAAAACUUGUUGGUAACGAGCAGUGGUAAUUGUGGUUUGGUCUCGUUUUUCUUCGAGCAUGUCGACUUCGUGGGCCCACAAAUCUUCAUUUUCUUUGGAUUGUACGAGCUCAGAUCGAGUAGUGAGGAAGUUUAGCUCAGUUGGUAUGAUAGCUUCUGUUCCAUAACAUAAGGCAAAUGGGGACAUUCAUGUAGAUGUGCGCGGUGUCGUUCUGUAAGCCCAUAGUACCCUAUCGAGUUCCUCUAUCCAUUUCUCUUUGUGUGCUUCAAGCUUUUUCUUAAGAUUAUUCAUGAUGGUCUUGUUGGUGGCUUCAGCCUGACCGUCUUUGAGCGUAGCGAGGUGUUGAGAGUGCGUGGUUGAUUCUCCAAUCGAGGUAGAAUUCCUCGAUUUCAGUUCCACAGAAUUGUUGACCAUUGUCGGUGACUAGAGUAUGUGGUAGUCCGAAUCGGUUGUCAUCUCGUGGGACAUGUUGAAUUUCCCAUUUGUUGAAGUAACUUAAUAAUUUUUUGGUAUGCUCCAAGUAUAGCUUCAGAGUCUUUUCUCUUGUUUCGUAGUCGCCGAGGAUUUGGCUAACUGCCAAUUGUGAGUCACUUAGGAUUCGCUAUUCUUUUACCUGUAACGUUAUGGCCAUUUGUAUGCCAGUGAGGAGUGCCUCGUAUUCUGCAUCAUUGUUGCUUGAGGUGCAAUUUAAUUGGACUGACUUUUCUAUGAUGGCGUCGUCCGGUGAGAUUAGUGUGGCUCCCACUCCUGAGCCAUUGAAGUUUUUGGAGCCAUCGACGUAGAGUUUCCAUGUUGGAGUUUUUGGUGUCGGUUGGUCAAUGACCUCGUUAUCGGGUAUCCAUGAGUUGUCGUCGAUGGCGUAAUCGACCAGGAGGUCGGCCACGAUUUGCCCUUUUCUGCUACUUCGCGGAGUGAAAAUGAGCUCGUGGUCUCCGAGUUCUUGGGCCCAUUUUGCCAUUCGUGUAGAUUUGUUUCUGCUUUCCAGUACUUGCCGAAGAGAUGCAUCUGUGAUGACUCUUAUUUUGUGUGAUUGGAAGUACGACUUCAACUUUCGUGAGGCGAAUAGUAAAGCUAAACCUACCUUCUCGAGGCUUGAAUACCGAGCUUCGGAAGAUAGCAAUGUCUUACUGAUGAAGUAUAUUGGUCUUUCUAUACCUCUUUCGUCUCGGAACAAUACUCCACUAAUUGCAUGUUCGGACGUACCGAGGUAGAGCCCCAGCACGUCGCCAUCUUGUGGUACCGUGAUGACUGGUGGCGUAGCCAAGUAUAACUUGAGUUCGUCGAAUGCUUGCUGGCAUUCAGGUGUCCAGUUAUAAGUUGACCCUUUCUUUAGUAGUUGAAGUAGUGGGCGUUGUUUGUCUGAUGCCCGGGCUAUGAACCUGUUUAAGGCUGCUAUCAUGUCGUUAAGCUUUUGAACUUGUUUCUUGGUUUUUGGGCUCGGCAUCUCAAGUAUGGCUUUGAUUUUUCUGGGUUGGCUUCGAUACCCCUUUGUGUGAUGAGGUAACCCAAGAAUUUUCCCGAAGCGACGCCGAACAAACAUUUUUCCGGAUUGAGUUUCAUGUUGUACUCAUGAAGUCGGAGGAAUGUUUUUUCGAGGUCGGUGACAAGGGUAGCUUUGUGCUUGUUUUUGACAAUCAUAUCAUCUACGUAAACUUCCAUUGUGUUACCAAUCAUAUCGUGGAACAUUCUGGUUGCAAGUCGCUGAUACGUGGCUCCUGCAUUUCUUAGUCCAAAUGGCAUGACUGUGUAACAAAAGGUACCUUGCUCAGUGAUGAACGCAGUUUUCUCUUGAUCUUCGUUUGCUAGUUUUAUUUGAUUGUAUCCUGAAUAACCAUCCAUUAAGGAAAUGAGUUCGUGACAUGCUGUUGAGUCAACGAGCUUAUCUAUUCGAGGGAGAGGAAAGCUAUCUUUUGGACAAGCUUUGUUAAGGUCCUUGAAUUCGAUACAUACUCUGACUUUACCGUUAGGUUUUAUGACUGCGACAAUGUUAGAGAGCCAGUCAGGGUAUGCGACCUCACGAAUGAAUUUUGCGUUUUUUAAAUUUUGUAUCUCUGCAUUAACUGCAUUGGCGAGAUGAGCUGCCAGUUUGCGAGCUUUUGGUUUCACAAGCUUUUUGUUGGUAUCUACAUUUAACCUGUGACAAGCAAUAGUGGGAUUGAUCCCUGGCAUGUCGGUAUAAGCAAAAGCGAAAACGUUUUUAUUCAUUUUCAGAGUAGCAAUAAGUUGUUGUUUUACAAUGGGGUCCAAGUUAGCCCCGACAUAGACAUAUUUUGGAUCGUCAUCCGAUCCUAUGUUGACCUUUUCACCUUGUUCAAUGACAUGUGGGUCGGAUGGAUGAACAAUUUCCUUGCCGUUUUGAGCUUGUGAGAUCUCAUCCCCAGUGGGUUGAGUAGAUUCUUCGACUGCAUUGCAGAUUGCAGAGAUCAUAUUGACAGUGGGCUUAGAUGAGCUCGCCACUGUGAGGGUAUCCACUUUAUUAGGGAGUGGGAUGACCUCGGGUAUGGCAUGGCAUCCAUGUGCUUCGAUCUGGUCACCUCGUAAUUCCAUGAUGCCUCUGGGGCCAGCAAAUUUGAUGACCUGGUGAUAUGUCGAUGGUACUGCUUUCAUUUUAUGAAUCCAUUUUCGUCCGAGAAUUGCGUUGAACUGAGCAGGGACAUCAAGGACGAAAAAGGUGCAGUACACAGUCACUUCGUCUUCAUUUUCACCAGUUGCCACAGGAAGGCAAAUUUCACCUUUUGCCUCAGUUUCGGUCGAGUUAAAUGCAAAAAGGGUGACUUGCGGUUUUUGGAGGACCGAGUCGGGCAUUUGCAUCUGACUGUAUGCCUUGUUAAAUAUUACGUCACAAGAACUUCCGGGGUCGAUAAGCACUUUUUUCAUUAUCCACCCCCCAAUGUUGAUAUGGACGACCAAUGCGUCGUUGUGAGGGAGACAUACUCUUUUGAGGUCGAGAUCAGAGAAGACCAGAGCAUUGUUACCUGUGACUUGUUUAGCCACAAUCGCUUUGUGAGUCAAGUGGAAGGUAUGGUGGAUGUGAUGAAUCUUCUGCUUCUUAGAACGAGCUGACCAUUCGGGAGGUCGAGCAUCCAUGAUCAUAUUAAUGGUUCCCUUAGGCUUUUUACCUUUCUCUGUCGAGGUCUUUUGUCGUUUGGCCUCUAGUUUACUGCGGAGGUCGGGUUCAUUUUCGGAGAGGAAGUCAUCGAGGUGACCCUCCUCCUUAAGCUUGUGACAGUAAGCUCGUAGAAUAGGGCAAUCUUCAGUGAGAUGGUGGCGACACUUGUGUAACUUACAGUAUGGUUUUCCUUCAAUCGGUUCGAGGUCGUGAACUUGAGGCUGGAAGUAAUCCUCAUCUUUGAUGAGGUCAAAGAGUUGAUUGUAUGAGCACUUGAAAGGAUUCGGGAAUUUGGAUUUGGCAUUGGAUGUGGCCUUUCCUUUGUAUUCUGAUCGAUUCGUCUUUGGUUUGGAGUAAGUGGACUCUGUUGUUUGGACAACAACCACUCUUUCUUUGGAUUUUGUGAGGGCUUCUUCCAGUUUGAUGUACUUGUCAGCGCGUACAUACAAGUCUUCCAACGUUGCAGGGGCGUCUAGGAUAAUAUUCUUUCCUAGUGCCGUAUUGGGGUUGACAGCGGAUAUGAAUGCCAAGAGACAUGAGUAUUCAUCUGGAUUCUCGGCUCGCAGGCAUUCCUUUUUGAAUCUUGACAUGAAUUUCUUCGUUGUCUCAGUUUCGUCCUACUUGAUACGAAAAAGGGCAGUAACCUCGAUUCUUUUCCUCUUGUUGUGGAUAUAUUGGGUGACAAAGAGUGACUCCAGUUGGUCAUACGAGGUAAUGGAUCUUUCAGGCAGUCGAUGAUACCAAUCUAUUGCACUCCCACGGAGUGAUGCGGAAAAUAAUCGACAGAAAAUAUCCUUGUACUUUGGCCAUAGGGCCAUGCUUGUCUUGAACUGUAGGACGUGGUCCAUUGGGUCUCCACUUCCGUUGUAAGUGGUGAACUUUGGAGGUAUAAAGUUUGGUGGUGGUUCCUCUUGUAGUAGGUCAUCAUGAAGAGGUUCAAUUUUGUACCGUUCAAGUGUUGUUGAUGCUACCUUCUGUGCUGUAUUAGCCUUGAGUGAGUCUUGGUGAUUUUUGUCGAGUUUCUCUGACAGUUGGAGGAUUCUGUCAUGAGCAGCUUGAAGGUCAGCCAUGGUUGGGGCGGCGGUGUUACUGGAGGUGGGUAGGGCAGUGUUGUUGACAGUUGUUGUGACUUCUUCAUUGUUGAGCAUAUUGGUAGCAACUCCGUUGAGCGGUGUGCCAUUAGUGGUGGUGGUGGUGCUUUUAAGGUGGAUGUUUUCAGCCACCAGUCUGUUGAUCUGCUCUUGCUGAUCGGCCAUUUGCUUCUGGAGUUGCUCAAACUGCUCAUUAGUGAUUGUUGCCAUGGUCGGAUGUCAGGUUAUUAUUCGUUCACGAAUCAGUCGGCGCCAAUGUAAAUGUAGAUAAAUUUGAGUGAGGGCAAGUCGGAGAAGAUGAUCGGAAAAAUAGAGGAGGAGGAAAUAGAUUUAUGAAAAUGGCUGAGCUAUCUUGUUUAGAUAGUUGCCUACGUAUCUGAGAGUGACCAAGUCCCAGAAUCAAGCCCACGUAGUUCAUAUAUAUAGGUGAUUGGGACAACGGAUAGCUCAUUAAUUGCCCAACGGUGUGGUCAAUUAAUGGGCGGAUAUUUUGGAUCUGAAAAUAUAUUGUAACUGAAGAGGAUCAAAAUGUAUAGUGUUUGAAUAAAGACGAUGUAGGUCGAAUAACAGUAGCUCCACGUCGGAUGAGCUCGGAUAAAAAUAGGCUUAUGCCGAAUGAAGGUCUUUUAAGGUCGAAUUGGAUUUGUAUUUGUGGUCACGAAGUGAGCUCGAGUAAAAGUAGUGUUACGUCGAGUAAGGUCGAAUAGAAUUCACAAAGUGAGCUCGAGUAAAAGUAGUGUUACGUCGAGUAAGGUCGAAUAGAAUUCACAAAGUGAGCUCGAGUAAAAGUAGUGUUACGUCGAGUAAGGUCGAGUAAAAUUGGGUUCACGACGAGUUGUUUGAAUAGGUAUACACAAUAAAUAUGGGUUUGUAAUGUGCUUAAUUACUUACUGUAAACUAUCAAUUAACUUGCACAAACAAUCACACAUGGCUAAAUCUGCUACCUUCUUCACUGUCCUCUUUGCUUUUCUUGUUCUGUUCGCUGCAAUUGGUGAGUAACUAAUUAAUUCCUAGCUAGUUUCUACCUUUCUACAAUCUUUAAUCUAUCAUAAGCCUAGCUAUAACCUUCCAACAUGCAUGGAAUUACGUCGCAUUUCAAACCCGUAUAUAAUAUAAAUGUUUAAGUGUUUUGUUUAGUUAUUCCUUAAUUAUAUUAUAGAACAAUUGUAUGUCCAUACCAACUUAUUUAUACAUGUUUGUGAUACAGAAAACCCAAUGAUGGUGGAAGCAAAAACAUGUGAAAGAGGAAGCGGGACAUGGUCAGGAUUGUGUGGCAACGAUGACAAGUGCAAGGAUCAGUGCAUUCAACUGGAGGGAGCUCAGCAUGGAUCUUGCAACUUUUUUAGAUGUGUCUGCUACUUCCCCUGUUAACUGUACAUAGUCCCGGCCCACCAUUACAGGUUCCAAAAUGAAAAUGCAUGGAGGAGAAAACUCCAUACAAAUAUCGGGUUGAGAACCAGCAAAGUGUUUAUGAAUUAUGACGACCUUGUAUAUCUUAUCUUCUACUAGCUAAGCUAGCUACUUGCAAUUUCGAUCACCUGUCCAUUUCAGAAGACGUUGUGUUUAAUAUGUUAAGGACCAACUUACCAUCAUUUCACUAUAAAUAGAGGUUCAUCUUAAGCUUAUUUCCUCACACUCACAUACAUUCUAAACCAAUUUCCAACCAAAAAUAAAGUAAUAGUCAUGGCUAAGUCUGCUACCUUCAUCACCCUUCUCUUUGCUGCUCUUGUUCUCUUUGCUGCUCUGGGUGAGUAACUUAGCUUAUUCUAUGUAUUUAGUUUAGUUGAAUGAUUAAGUACUUUUAGUCUAUCAUUUAUAACCUUGUUAUAUGCAUGUAUAUGUGAUGUGCAGAAGCACCAACAAUGGUGGAAGCAAAAUUGUGCGAGAAACCAAGCGGGACAUGGUCAGGAGUUUGUGGAAACAGUAACGCAUGCAAGAAUCAGUGCAUUCGACUUGAGGGAGCACAACAUGGAUCUUGUAACUAUGUCUUCCCAGCUCAUAAGUGCAUCUGCUACUUCCCAUGUGCUUAAUUACUACGGCACAAAUAUAUGCACCAAGACCCUUUGGCUUAAAUAAAUCUGUGUCACUCCAUGGGUGACCCUCGACAUGUACCAUGUUUAUGCUUCUUUGGUUAUAGUAAAAACUUUUAUGUAUUACUACUGCUACUUCUUGUUCAUUUUUACCUGCAACGCCACCAAUAUUAUGGACACAAGGACAGAACGUUUCGAUGAGAACUGUGGAAACUCAGUAAUAGCUUACCUAAUUCAAAAAAGAAUAUAAAAGCUAUAAAUAUGAGAAAUUUGUGCCUGUUUGAGAAGUUUUCCCUUUGCUUAUUCGAGAAAUUACCCUUUUUUCUUUGGGUAAAUAAGAUAAAUA